rnacentral:rRNA from 1 species
ACUGCUCAGUAACACGUAGGCAACCUGCCCGAAAGACCGGGACAGCAGUGAGAAAUCGCUGCUAAUACCGGAUGUGGCCCAAGGGAGACAUCUUCCUUGGAUUAAAGCGUCUUAAUGGCGGCUUUCGGAGGGGCCUGCGGCCUAUCAGCUAGGUGGCGAGGUAACGGCUCACCAUGCCGACGACGGGUAGCUGGUCUGAGAGGAUGGUCAGCCGGACUGGGACUGAGAGACGGCCCAGACUCCUACGGGGGGCAGCAAUUAGGAAUCUUGCGCAAUGGGGGCAACCCUGACGCAGCGACGCCGCGUGGAGGAGGAAGGCCUUCGGGUUGUAAACUCCUUUUGUCAAGGAAGGAACAAAUGACGGUACUUGACGAAUAAGCCCCGGCUAACUCCGUGCCAGCAGCCGCGGUAAUACGGAGGGGGCGAGCGUUGUCCGAAGUUACUGGGCGUAAAGCGCGCGUAGGCGGGUUGCUAAGUCCGCUGUGAAAGCCCGAGGCUUAACCUCGGAGGGUCGGUGGAUACUGGCAGUCUUGAAGGUGGUAGGGGGAGAUGGAAUUACCGGUGUAGCGGUGAAAUGCGUAGAGAUCGGUAGGAACACCAGUGGCGAAGGCGGUCUCCUGGAGCACUCUUGACGCUGAGGCGCGAAAGCUGGGGGAGCGAACGGGAUUAGAUACCCCGGUAGUCCCAGCCCUAAACGAUGGAUACUAGGUGUCGGGGGUAUCGACCCCCCCGGUGCCGCCGCUAACGCAGUAAGUACCCCGCCUGGGGAGUACGGCCGCAAGGUCGAAACUCAAAGGAAUUGGCGGGGGAGCAC